rnacentral:tRNA from 1 species
CAGGGAGACAAACAACGAUUUUGAUGCCUGAGUACUUUUAUUCUUAGGCCGAAAUCCUGUCACCUUAGGUCGAUCGGUACCUCAACUUCAAUCCUGUGAGUCGCAAGACUGCACAACGAUUGAUUUUUAGUUCCUAAACGUUGUCUAGGUCACCCUAUAGAGGGUUCACUUCCUGGGCCAUUAGCUCAGGUGGUUAGAGCGCACCCCUGAUAAGGGUGAGGUCCCUGGUUCAAGUCCAGGAUGGCCCAUUCCAAAAUCCAGUUUUGGAUCAUUUGGGGGUUUAGCUCAGUUGGUAGAGCGCCUGCUUUGCAAGCAGGAUGUCAGCGGUUCGAGUCCGCUAACCUCCACUAACACAUCUGAACUCCUAAGCCAGGAAGAGCUUCUUGGUUGGUGACUAGACGUUGUUCGCAGAGAAUCCACUGGUUUUACCAGAUGUAUUCAGCCUCAGCUCAUCUCCAAUGACGGAUUGAGCUGAUGCUGAAUUCACUCUCGAAAGAGAGAGGAUUUAGCAGAACCUUGACAACUGCAUAGGUGAGUCUGGAAAGACAAAAGCAUCUCAUAGAGGCUAGCUCGAAAGAGCUAGUGAUUCUAUUUUUGAGAGCCGAGACCUUCUAGCGUUCUUCCCAAUCCGCCGAGGAGCGGGGAGUUUGAUCCUUUUUUCUAACUGAUCGAGGGCCAGAGCAAUCUGAUCUUUGAUUAAGAGAAAACUGAGAGAAUGGGCCUCAACAGCCUGAAGCGUUAGGAGGAUUAAUU